CGGGACUGGAUGUAAGGCUCCUUCACAUAGCGUACCUCACUGAAUAUGCUGGCCGAGCCAAAGUCGAUCACCUAUGGAGGACAGAGGGGAUGGAGCACAGGGCAGCUGGGUUGGUGGAGUGGUAGAGAUGACAGGAUAGGCCCCUCCUGGGACUCAUCCCUGUGUAUCUCCUGUGUCUGCCUAGCUCUUGUACCUUCUACACUUCCUUUCUUAUGAAUGACCCUGCCUCUGUCCUCUAGCUAUUGCUUCUGUGUCAGGUGUCAGGUCUGGCUCUGUCUGAUUCUCUGCUUGAACUUGUGCCUAUAAUAGUUGGGACCCUCCCCCUGCUGUAGUGCAUAGUAGGCAAGUAUUCACCCAUAUCCUCUGUCCUUUUUGUUGGUUAGUUUUGAGACAGGGUCUCAUAUAGCCCAGGCUGGCUUCAACCUGGUUAUGUAGCCAAGGAUGUCCUUGAAUUCCUGUUCUUUCACCCAGCUCCCAGCUAUGAUUUUAACAUCAUUUCACAUACUAUAUAUAUAUUUCCCUGAGGGGGGGUGUUGUGUGUGUUGGAGGUGUUAUAGGCAUAUGUGGGUGUCAUCACCCAUGUGUGCAUGUAUAAGGCCAAAGGUCCUCUAUCUUCCUCUACCGCUGUAACCUUAUUUUGUGAGGCAAGGUCUCUUAGUGAACCUGAAACUCACAACUUUGGCAAGAUAGCCGGGCCACUGAGCCCUCAGGAUCUUCUUGUCUUCCCUUACAUCCCCUCAGCCCUGGGAUUAUAAAGUCAAGCCCAGCUUUUAUGGGGUCCCUGGGGAUCUGAAUUUAGGCUCUUCUGCUUGUGUGCAGCAAGCACUUAACCCGCUAGGCCUGAGAGAUGGCUCAGUGGUAAAGAGCACUGGCUGCUCUUGCAGGGAAUCCAGGUUUGGCUCCCAGCACCCACAUGGCAGCUCACACCUGUCUGGAACUCUAGUUCCAGGGGGAAUCCAAAGCCCUCUGACCUCUUGGAACACCAUACAUCCAUACAUUUGCACUCACAUAUAAAAAGAAAAUAAAUGAAAAAAAAAAUAGAACUCCAGUCCCAUGACAACAAGAGCUUUGUAUUUUAUUCAAGGCUGUGUCUCUGGAGGCCUGGAACUAGUAGGCAUUUUACACCAAUCAGUAUUGUCCUCCCUUUGAUUUGUGUGUCUGUCUUCCAUGGUCCUAGAGAUUGAACUUCAGGCAGGGUCAUUCAUAAGAGAGGAAAUGUAGAAGGUACAAUAAUCUGGGAUUAUAGGCAUGUUUCACCAGGUCUGGCUCCCUUCUCAUAUAUAUAUGUAUGUAUAUGUAUGUGUGUGUGUGUGUGUAUGUGUGUGUAUUUGUUUUUCAAGACAGGGUUUCUCUGUGUAACCCUGGUGGUCCUUAAACUCACUCUGUAGACCAGGAUGGCCUAGAACUCAGAAAUCCACCUCUACCUGUACCUCCCAAGUGCUGAUAUUAAAAGCAUGUGCUGCCAC
rnacentral:lncRNA from 1 species